GGGGUGCAACACGAGGACUUCCCAGGAGGUCACCCAUCCUAGUACUACUCUCGCCCAAGCACGCUU
rnacentral:rRNA from 1 species